rnacentral:misc_RNA from 1 species
AGCUAUGGAUGGUAUAUAAUACAUAUUGUCUUUUUUAUUAUCAUGCUAUCACCAUCUUUGUAAUUGUCACCAUUCUUUUUUAAAUUUAAUAAGUGAAGUUGUUAUCGAUGCUUGAGAGUAGUCAAGGCCCUUUUCCAUAAUGAUCUGAUAUGAGAUAUACUAUUCAUGGAAUUUUCUUUUAUUAAUGUUCUAAUUUCUUUUUGUCAAAACACUUGUUUCAAGCUAAAUGCAAUAAAGCAAGGUAACUCUUCUAAUGGAUUAUGAGUUCAUGGUCUGUCUUAGGAGUCUAUCACUCAUUCUAUGUGCUUUAUUUCAUCCAAAGCACUCUUACUUUGGAAAAGAAUUGAGAUAUUUGUUAACAACCUUAGUUGUACCGUGUAAUAAUAGCAAUAUCGUUCAGUCUGUUCUUUAUCUGGGCUUCAUCCAGUUCCCAUGGAGGGAAUCCUGUUUCCCUUUCUAACACUUUUUUAUAGUUUUGAUAGUAUAUGCUAUGUUGUGGCAGGGUGGUUUUGAUUCAGCCAAUGUGAAAUUGAUUGGUUCCUAGUUUCAUUAUUUUUUUUCUUCUUUUAAGUCUUUCAUGGCAUUGCUGUUUUCUGUCCUGUGGUUUUAACAUUUCUGCUUCUUACCAAUUGUCACAAUAUUUUUUUCGGUAACUGUGCAAACCAUCCAUUCUUAGAAACUCUUUCCUUUUAUUAAGGCUCAGUGUAUUUACAGGUAUAUGUGGACUAUAUGAAAGA